AACGAACGCUGGCGGCAUGCCUAACACAUGCAAGUCGAACGAGACCUUCGGGUCUAGUGGCGCACGGGUGCGUAACGCGUGGGAAUCUGCCCUUUGCUUCGGAAUAACAGUUAGAAAUGACUGCUAAUACCGGAUGAUGUCUUCGGACCAAAGAUUUAUCGGCAAAGGAUGAGCCCGCGUAGGAUUAGGUAGUUGGUGGGGUAAAGGCCUACCAAGCCGACGAUCCUUAGCUGGUCUGAGAGGAUGAUCAGCCACACUGGGACUGAGACACGGCCCAGACUCCUACGGGAGGCAGCAGUGGGAAUAUUGGACAAUGGGCGAAAGCCUGAUCCAGCAAUGCCGCGUGAGUGAUGAAGGCCUUC
rnacentral:rRNA from 1 species